rnacentral:rRNA from 1 species
UACGAAGGGGGCUAGCGUUGUUCGGAAUCACUGGGCGUAAAGCGCGCGUAGGCGGACUGUCAAGUCAGAGGUGAAAUCCCAAGGCUUAACCUUGGAACUGCCUUUGAAACUGUCAGUCUGGAGUCUCGGAGGGGAUGGCGGAAUUUCUAGUGUAGGGGUGAAAUCCGUAGAUACUAGAAGGAACACCGGUGGCGAAGGCGGCCAUCUGGACGAGUACUGACGCUGAGGCGCGAAAGCGUGGGGAGCAAACAGG